rnacentral:tRNA from 1 species
UCUAGCUCAGUUGGUAGAGCUGUGGACUUUUAAUCCAUAGGUCGUGGGUUCGAGCCCCAC